rfam:Dipodomys ordii contig_15141, whole genome shotgun sequence.
GGUAGCUCAGUAGUAGAGUGCUUGCCUUGCAUGCAUGAAGCCUUGGGUUCUAUUCCUUAGUACCA